GGCCGAGACAGGAACCGACGCCUUGGGUUUGGAUGAGGUGGAGAAUUGGUGGACGACAACUGUUUGCACUUUUCCUUUGUGGAUCGAGUGCGCGCGUGAGCAAAUGCCUUCAUCACCGAUGCAUGUGUGGCUCUUGUGACGAGCGAACAGGAGCAGGAGAGGGAAGUGGACAAGGAAUAAGGAACACGUUCCUGGUCUACUUGUUGCGUGUCAUUGGAUGAGACGACAAGUGCAUGAUUCCACGCCACUUGGUUCGCAACAUAAUUGAAACUUUAUGCCAUGUUGAUAAGAGUGGCUUCACAGAAAGCAGGGGGGGGUGGUGUUCAGUGGAAUAAGAACACAUCUCGCAGCAAAGGGUAAAAAAAGGGCGAGCUUUGAUGUAUGGGUGACCAUAGCUUUGUUUAAAGAAGACAGCUUCCAAGGGUUGACUCCUUUUGGAAGUGUGAUUAGGUAAAUUAGCUUGUGCAUGUUAAUUUGAAUGGAAAACACCUCACUGCAGACCCCCUUUUAGUGAAUAAUGCAUGGUUGAUUUGAUGCACGAGCUCAAUGAGGUAUAAGAGGGUCAUCAUGCAAGCUUUCUUAGUGAAUCUGGCUCAUCUUAUGCAUGAAGCAGAAGAGGUUGAUGCAUGAUUGUCUGGAGAGGGGAAUCUUUUGUAUGUUUGCUUUGUUUAUGACCAGUUUUUGGCCAGUAGAUGUUCAUCAACAUAUGAUUGUCACAUCAUGCUUUGCUGGAAGAGACCUCGCUGCAAACUUUAUUAGUGAAUUAGGUCGAUUUCAUAUAAGGAUGAAGUAGGAGAGGUUUGUGCAUGAUUAUGUGGAGAUCAUCUUUCUUUUCUUUUUCUUUUGCUUGUUUCGGAUAAGAUUGGGUCAGGAGAUGUUGUUUAACAAUAGAAGAUGGUGGCCUCCAGGCAUCAAUCUGCAUGAGGUAACCAAGCAUCUUAAGUGUGAUAUAUCAUGGAGGAGAAUAUUUAACUUGUUCGCUUUGUUUAUGAUACUGUUUGGUCAGUGGAGGUUGAUCAGGAAGAGAAGAUUGCUGCUGCAUCAGGCUUUUGUGGAAGGCACAUUACUCAUGACAGUUUGGCUCUGCAUGCAAACAUGGCGAAAUAAAGCACCUGAGAAUUGGUAUCUAAUAGUUCAUAGAGUGAUUGCCUCUUGUCAACCAUUAACUUGUCUAAAAGCAAAUCAUGUCCGACACUGAUGAUGGCAUGAACUAAGCUUUUGUUACUUGGUGGUGAGGGAAUUGGAGAAAAGCUUUCAGUGUCGCUAAAGAAUGUGAAUCGAGUUCCACUAGCAUCCCUUACUGUGAGCUAUCAUCUUAUAAUGCUGAGAUAGUAGUUAGGCAUUGAUGUAACCUUCUCUCAAUUGUGAGUGGGUUUGAUCUUUUCCGGUCCUUUUCCAACCAAGGUUCUAAGUUAUUACUUCAAAAAUCCAUCAGAUCUUGCCAUGAUUAGUCAUCGAAGAAGAGAAAAGCAAGUCACAAACUGGGAAUAAGGAACUUCUCCUUUAAUUGAGAGUUUGAAUGUAUGUCUCUAUCAACUUGGCUGCAAUGAGGCUGCAGAAAAGAAUCGUUGCAGCAAAACAUUAUUAAAUCUGGUAUUUGUUGGAAGACACCUCACUAGCUCAGUGCAUUUGGAGUGAUUAUCUUUGCAUGAGGUCCAUGACGUUUAAAGAAAAUUAGGUCAAGGUAUACUUUUCAGUAUUAGCACAGACUUCUGACAUUGACAGGGAGAUAGGAGGCAACUUAAUAUACCAAAGAUCAAUAACUAUUUGCUUAAAGCUGAAGUGCAAUGUCAGUAACAAAUGGAAAGGAAUGUUGCUCAAAAGCAGCAUUUUCCUGUCGUAUAUUUCAUUCAUUCCUCCCCAAUAACCAUAUCUUAGGACUUCUUUUUUUUGUUUUUGAGAAAUAUAAAAAAUCGUGUCAUCAGCUUAUCCGGAGAAACAUGUCUUGAGUUAAGAAGGAUUAAAUUAGCUUCAUCAAGGGAUUUUAGUUACUGUCUCAGUUAUUGAAUUCAUUUCUUGUAGAACCCAUGAAGAAGUAAUAUUCAUUUGUGAAGAUUUAAUGUCUAUAACAUCAUAUCUGCAUAACAUCAACCUCAAAAAUCUAAGUAACAUCGCAUGCUUCUGAUCAAAUUUUUAGGUACAUAGCUAGAAUAACUAGAGCAGUGUUUCUUAAGAAAGUCCUAGAAACAAAAUAAACUCUGAUAGCAGAUGUGGAUUGUGAUUUCUGACUCAUAUGAGAUGCACAGUAAUCAGUACUGACUGAGAAAUUGUAAAUGAACAGUAGAACCUCUCCCAACAAUUACCUCCUUAAUAAGGAAUGCUACAAACAUAGGUAGGUUUUGGGGUCUGCUCCAAAAGAAUGCAAGUUUAAUGUCAGGUGGAUUUUAUCUACAAGCAUGGUGUCAUGGGUUGCUACAAUAACCUUCUCUCCCAAACUGAGCUUGUCCCUGUGGUCUUCAGCCUUGUGGUUGUUUCCCCUUCAAUCCUAGUAGGAUUCUAGGUCGAAAUUUUUGUGAAGCUGAUGGGGAACAAUCUGAUGUCUACAAGAAAUGGCUAGUGAGCAGAUAUGAUUGGCAUCCAGGUGGUCCUAAUCUAUUUCUGUCACGCCAUCGCUGCAGUUAUAGAACCCGUUGCUGUAUCAGCUGUGCCAACCAAGGGAAUGUCAAUCAAUCAUCAAACUUAUGUAUUCUUACCUCCUCCAUUGCUCUUAUCAAACCUUAGUGGUGUUUCAUCUUCAGUGAAAACGUUGUGUUAGUUCUACCAUUCCUAUUUGGAUGAAAAAACUUAUUUAUCAAAUUAACCCUAUAUAUUCAGUUGGCUUGCACACUAUAUCAGCAUGUAUUUGCUAAAUAUUCAGAAUGCCAAUAUAUUCGUAUCAGUAAGAUGUUUGUCA